rnacentral:rRNA from 1 species
GACGAACGCUGGCGGCGUGCUUAACACAUGCAAGUCGAACGGUGAAGGGAUCAGCUUGCUGGUUCUGGAUGAGUGGCGAACGGGUGAGUAACACGUGAGUAACCUGCCCCCUUCUUCUGGAUAACCGCAUGAAAGUGUGGCUAAUACGGGAUAUUCUGCGCCUGCUGCAUGGUGGGUGUGGGAAAGAUAUUGUUUCGGUGGGGGAUGGGCUCGCGGCCUAUCAGCUUGUUGGUGGGGUGAUGGCCUACCAAGGCGGUGACGGGUAGCCGGCCUGAGAGGGUGGACGGUCACACUGGGACUGAGACACGGCCCAGACUCCUACGGGAGGCAGCAGUGGGGAAUAUUGCACAAUGGGCGCAAGCCUGAUGCAGCGACGCCGCGUGAGGGAUGGAGGCCUUCGGGUGGUGAACCUCUUUCGCCAGUGAAGCAGGCCUGUCCCUGGUGGGUGGGUGGACGGGAGCUGGAUAAGAAGCGCCGGCUAACUACGG